rnacentral:rRNA from 1 species
AUUGACCGCUGGCGGCAGGCCUAACACAUGCAAGUCGAGCGGAGCGACGGACGGGUGAGUAAUGCACAGGAAUCUGCCUGGUAGUGGGGGCUAACGUACGGAAACGGGCGCUAAUACCGCAUACUAUCAGAUGAGCCUAGGUCGGAUUAGCUAGUUGGUGGGGUAAAGGCCUACCAAGGCGACGAUCCGUAACUGGUCUGAGAGGAGGAUCAGUCACAAUGGAACUGAGACACGGUCCAGACUCCUACGGGAGGCAGCAUGGGGGAAUAUUGGACAAUGGGCGAAAGCCUGAUCCAGCCAGGCCGCGUGUGUGAAGAAGGUCUUCGGAUUGUAAAGCGCUUUAAUUUGGGAUGCGUUACCAACAGAGGAAGCAACGGCUAACUUCGUGCCAGCCGCCGCGGUAAUAC